CUUUUUCCAUCUAAAUAUGAGGGUGCUUGGUUUGCUUAACAUCUUUAUAAAGGGCAGAAAAACAGACACAGAAUUUCAAUGAGUCAUCUAUCCUGACUGGAG